rnacentral:rRNA from 1 species
UUCUCUAGUUCAGAUUGAGGUCUGCAACUCGACCUCAUGAAGCUGGAAUCGCUAGUAAUCGCGCAUCAGCAAUGGCGCGGUGAAUACGUUCCCGGACCUUGUACACACCGCCCGUCAAGCCAUGGAAGCCGGGUGUACCUAAAGUCGGUAACCGCAAGGAGCCGCCUAGGGUAAAACUGGUAACUGGGGCUAAGUCGUAACAAGGUAACC